UACAGAGGUGGCGAGCGUUAAUCGGAAUUACUGGGCGUAAAGCGCACGUAGGCGGCUUGGUAUGUCGGGUGUGAAAUCCCCGGGCUCAACCUGGGAACUGCAUCCGAAACUGCCUUGCUCGAGUAUGGGAGAGGGAAGUGGAAUUUCCGGUGUAGGCGGUGAAAUGCGUAGAUAUCGGAAAGGAACAUCAGUGGCGAAGGCGACUUCCUGGACCAAUACUGACGCUCAGGUGCGAAAGCGUGGGGAGCAAA
rnacentral:rRNA from 1 species